UCUGCACCUUAAAUCAAAGAAGACUCAAAUCAAAAUUAUCAAGGUGAAUUUCUUUUUAUUUACUUUCAAUUGAUAUGCAUUUCGUAAUACGCAAUAGAAUGAGAGUGAAUUUUAUUUUAAUUUAAUUUUUAGUUGGCGGUUCUGUUGAUUUUAAGGUUCUGGUUUGUUUGGUCAGGAAGUGUUGGGCAAUGGAUUUUGGGUUUUUGAUUUGGGAGUUUCUGAGUUUAGUAGCACGGCUUCGAGUGCUUAGAGAUGCCAUGUAGCACGGUAAAAAGAAUUUCUGUGUGUAAAAUUUCUCCGCAUAAUUUUCUGCAAAACAAGGAGAAAGAUAUUGAGGGGAAAAAGAUAAAUGUCUGAUGAGAUAAAUGAUGUGAUAGAGGCAACAUAUCAUUAAAAAAAUGUAUGACUGAAGAAAUGCGUGAUUGGGGAAGGAAAAUGUUAAAUGUGGCGUGCUAUUAGGUGCCUUGGUUGGGAAUGUGUCUUGUGGUGAUGUUGAGGCAACGAAGUGGAAUGCAUAGUAUACUGUAUACAGUAGUAUUUCUCUCUGCAAGUGUGUUUUAUGCAACAGUUUUGAACUGUGAACACAAAAAAGAAAAUACUUUUUCUUCUUCUAAUUAUGUUCCAUAUACAGAUAGUUUUCUGUUAAAGAAGUGGACAGAAAGUGUAAUAUGCUAGAUACUUCUGGUACUAUUCUUAAAUCAAAAGUGGAGUUUUACUUUGAUUUCAAUAACUUAUAUAAUAUAAGCUAACAAUAAUUGUGUGUUUGGUUUAGCAUCAGAUCCAUCUGAUCCACGUCAAUCUUAACAUUUACAAUCGUUGCUUCUACGUCUUUUCAAAACUUGGACAUGGAAAUUCAAUGAUACGUGUGUUACCAAUGCAAAACCAAACACGUGCUAGGCUUAAGUUGCUUUUGAAAUCUAUUCCUUGUUCAUUGAAUCUCAGUUCUGCAAUCUCACCCAGAUGAAGUGGCCGUGCAGGAACAAUUCAAUGUAUUAGGCUCUCUACCACUGUUAGUGAAUGAGCCAAAUUCCGAAGAAAUUGUUAAUGUCUUUUGCUUCUACCUCGUGUAUUCGUUUGUCAUGAACGUCUGCUCUCCUUUGAAGGUAUGUUGUUCUAAAAUUGGGAUGAACACCUAUAGAUAUUUCAGAUCUUGACAUGUCAUCAUCUACACCAUCAUAAUCAAUAUAAUUUUGAUAGGUGUCUCGCUCGUCCUCGACAAUCAUUUUAUGCAAUAUGAUACAUGCAUAAAUUAUAUUUUUCAUUAUUGCAGCAUCCCAAAAACGUGUCGGACCUCGUAUGAUUGCGAAUCAAGAUUGAAGCACUCCAAAUGCACGUUCUACAUCCUUUCUCGUUGAUUCCUGUUGUUGGGCAAAUAAUUUCCUUUUUUCCCCCUGUGGCAUAGAGAUGGUCUUGACAAAUGUAGCAAAGUCUGGAUAUAUGCCAUCUGCUAGAUAGUAACCCAUAUUAUCUUGGGUUCUAUUCACGGUGUAUUGCACUGUCGCCGCAAUUCCUAAAAGAACUUUGUUAAAUACAUUAGAUGCAUUUAACACAGUAAUAUCAUUAUUCGAACCUGUAGUCCCAAAAAAUGCAUGCCAAAUCCACAAGUCUUGCGAUGCAACAGCUUCAAGAAUGAUUGUUGGGUUGGCAUGAUCACCUCGACAAAAUUGACCUUUCCACGCAACUGGACAAUUCUUCCAUUCUCAAUGCAUACAGUCAAUUGAACCUAGCAUUCCAGGAAACCCAUGUGCCUCUCCCAUCUGUAGUAGUCGUUAAAUGUCUUCGUUAUUAGGGCGUCUCAGAUACUCACCCCUAAAUAUUUCACAAAUUCCUUUCACAAAUCUUUGUAAGUAUUCCACUGCAGUGGUUUCACCAAUUCUAAUAUACUUGUCCACAAAGUCAGCAGGUGUCCCAUAAGCCAGCAUACGAAGAGUAGUUGUGCACUUUUGCAACGGUGAUAGGCCCCUUCUACGUGUUGCAUCGAGUCUCAUUCGAAAGUACUCAUCAUGAUUGCUUAUGGAAUCUACAACUCGGAGAAAUACAUGUCGUCGCAUGUGAAACCGUCUUCAGAACUGAGUUGUGUAUACUGGAUUUUCAGAGAAAUAGUCAUUAAACAAUCGUUCAUGACCUUCCUCACGAUUUCGAUGAACUACCCUCCUUGUUUGGUUUGACCUUAUGGUGUUGGUAAGUUGUUGUUGAUAGGUUUGUAUCAUCAACUGGAUCAAGUCUUCGUCGGUGUUGUCGUGUAGUUCCUCAUCUAUGAAUUGAUCCAAAAGAUCAUCUAAAUUGAUGUUUGGAUCAUCUAAAUUGUUGUUUCGAUCCAUCACGUAUCAAUCUAAAAAUCGAAGAAAAAUAGAUGGAGAUUUUGUGUGAGAGAAGAUGUGAGAAUGAGUAGGAUUAGAUGACAAAGUCUACAUAUAAAUAAUUUUAUAACGGCUAGUUUUAUAACAGCUAGUUUUACAACGGCUAGUUUUAUAACGACUAGUUUUACAACGACUAGUUUUAUUUUUUAUUUUUUAUUUCUUUAAAACGUCUCUUUUUCUUCUUCUUCCUAAGAGGUUUUUUUCAUUUUUCUUCACCCUUCCUUUUCUUCCAACUGCACCUUCAAACUCCGUCUACCGCCACCGUCCCCGCCGUGCGCAGGUCCAGCCAGAACGUCCACUCGCGCAAAGCUCAGGAACGUCCACCUGCACGCCUCCGUUGUCCAACCGCGCGCCUCAGCCAUCCAACUGCGCGCCUCCGCCGUCCACCCGCGCGCCUUCGCUGUCCAACCGCGUGCCUCUGCCGUCCAACUGCGCGCCUCCGCCGUCCAAACCCUCACCUCCGCCAUCCAACCACCGCCUCACCACCGCGCCUCCUUCAGUUCACAAAAGUAAGCAAUCGUUGCUUCACUAAGCAACCCUCUCUCCUCUACAAGAAACUCUUGCUGUCAUGUCACAUCUCUCCAAUGGUAAGAAACUGAUGUUGAAGUUGCUUGAUGAGUCAAGCAACUCCCAUUAAAGUUGCUCUUAGAACACUUAUGCUUCUAAGGCCCAUUUUAUAUUUGAUAUAAAUCUUCUCACAGGUCACAACCCACAAGGAUUCUGCUUUUCUUGUAGAAAGGUGAAACUUACAUGGAUAUAGGCUUGGAUUUUGGUUUUCAGGUUAUCUUGUCAUUUCAUAAUUCAUAGCCUUUCUCAAUCAACCCUUUUUGACAUAUUAUUGUUGGUUAAUAAAACUCAAGUGAAAUCGAUUAAAUGAGAUGAGUCACAGUUUAUAUAGUGAGUUCUAAUUCUAAUUUAGUGGAUCUCACUUAAUUCGUUAUUUAUAAGUGUUAUUAUGAUGUUGGCUUAUCAUUCAUAUUGGCCUACUAAAUUAACCUAGAAAACUCUUGCAAAAAUAAUAUCGUAAACUACUCAUUUCUCAUUACAAAACGUGUGUUAUGAAACCACUUACGCUUGGGUAGUUUUGUACCUUCGUUAUUUCAAUAAGCUUGAGCAUCAUUUGUUGAUCUGAUUUCACUUGUCUCUAACACCGCUUGACAACAAACAUAAACAAAGCAAGUUUUGUUUGCGCUAGAAACGUUGUAAAAUUACAGGGAAUUGAACUUCUAAAUUCAAAUACAGUAGAAACUAGAAAAUCUGUUAAACUGCAAAAUUUAUUAAUUUUUUACAAAA